GGAAAUGUGCCUAAACUCAAGGGUCACUAUGAUGAAGUGAACAUAGAGGUACACUAACCCUCUCAUUUCCU
rnacentral:tRNA from 1 species